rnacentral:rRNA from 1 species
GCCAGCCCGCUCAGAAACUUAAAGGAAUUGGACGGGGCCCGCACAAGCGGUGGAGCAUGUGGUUUAAUUCGAUGAUACGCGAGGAACCUUACCUGGGCUCAAAUGUAUGUUGACGUAUUCUGAAAGGGAUACUUCUUCGGACAAUAUACAAGGUGCUGCAUGGUUGUCGUCAGCUCGUGCCGUGAGGUGUCGGGUUAAGUCCCAUAACGAGCGCAACCCCUAUCAUUAGUUGCCAUCAGGUCAAGCUGGGGACUCUAAUGAAACUGCCUACGCAAGUAGUGAGGAAGGUGGGGAUGACGUCAAAUCAGCACGGCCCUUACGUCCAGGGCUACACACGUGCUACAAUGGCCGGUACAAAGGGCAGCUACCUGGUGACAGGAUGCUAAUCUCAAAAGCCGGUCUCAGUUCGGAUCGGAGUCUGCAACCCGACUCCAUGAAGUUGGAAUCGCUAGUAAUCGUGGAUCAGCAUGCCACGGUGAAUACGUUCCCGGGCCUU